UACGUAGGUGGCAAGCGUUAUCCGGAAUUAUUGGGCGUAAAGAGCGCGCAGGUGGUUGAUUAAGUCUGAUGUGAAAGCCCACGGCUCAACCGUGGAAGGUCAUUGGAAACUGGGUCACUUGAAUAUAGAAGAGGAAAGUGGAAUUCCUAGUGUAGCGGUGAAAUGCGUAGAUAUUAGGAAGAACACCAGUGGCGAAGGAGGCUUUCUGGACUGUAACUGACACUGAGGCUCGAAAGCGUGGGGAGCAAACAGGAUUAGAUACCCGCGUA
rnacentral:rRNA from 1 species